rnacentral:rRNA from 1 species
UUGGAGGGCAAGUCUGGUGCCAGAAGCCGCGGUAAUUCCAGCUCCAAUAGCGUAUAUUAAAGUUGCUGCAGUUAAAAAGCUCGUAGUUGAAUUUCGGGACCAUCAUGUCGGUCGUGCCUCGGUACGUACUGGUAUUGUUGGUUUCUCCCUUCUGACGAACCAUGAUGUCAUUUAUUUGGUGUUGUGGGGAAUCAGGACUGUUACUUUGAAAAAAUUAGAGUGUUUAAAGCAGGCUCACGCUUGAAUACAUUAGCAUGGAAUAAUGAAAUAGGACGUUUGAUUCUAUUUUGUUGGUUUCUAGGAUCGACGUAAUGAUUAAUAGGGAUAGUUGGGGGCAUUAGUAUUCAAUUGUCAGAGGUGAAGUUCUUGGAUUUAUUGAAGACUAACUACUGCGAAAGCAUUUGCCAAGGAUGUUUUCAUUAAUCAAGAACGAAAGUUAGGGGAUCGAAGACGAUCAGAUACCGUCGUAGUCUUAACCAUAAACUAUGCCGACUAGGGAUCGGAUGAUGUUAAUUUUUUAAUGACUCAUUCGGCGCCUUACGGGAAA